ACAGUGUGUGAUGAGGAGUGGGGGAGGAAGACACAGAUCAGGAGAGUACCUGUUGUAACUGAACCCC
rnacentral:lncRNA from 1 species